CUGUUCACCCGCGGAGGCAGCCCGCGGACACGGUCCGCACGUCUGCAAGGCCGGCAGCCGCGGGCAGAGCCCUCCCGCCGGGCAGCCCUCGGCCCCGCCUCCUCUCCCGGCGCCGCCCGAGGUGGGUGCAAGCCGCCCGCCGUGACGGAAGGACAGGCGCCCACACGCCGCCAGGCACCGCGGAGCACCACCAGCUCACCGACCGGCCCCAGCUCCGGAAACAGCCGCCCCACGCGGGGGGCGGGGGCGGGAGGGCGGCGGCGGCGGCGGCUGCUACGCGGCGGCUGCUCUCGCGGGAUCUCUCUCUGCCUCCGUGUCUUCGGGCCCCAUCGAGACCUCGCGUGGUUUGGGCUAGGGGCGGGGCGAGCCGAGGGGCGGAGUCGGAUGGGGCGUUCCCGGGCCUUGUUGACUUCAGCGCCCUCGCGGCGGCCCUCGCGCCCGCCGCCGUCCGCGCAUGCCCGGUCCCCGCCGGCUCGGAGGCCGCGGCGCUUGGGCUUCCCCAACCAGCGUCCGGGCCCCGCCCCUCCCCCCGGCGGCGGCGGCGGACGUGUUGUUUUGGCGGCGGCGCCGGCUGCCGCGGAGCCAGCUGAGUCCCAGCGCCUCACCUGCGCCCGCUGCGGCGGGCCCACCGACCGCCUCGCCACAGCGUGCCUGUGUCGUGCUCAUCUUGCCGGAUCCGUGGUGAAGAAGUGUUCAGUGCAGCCUGGAGGGAGGUACUGAGCUAUAGUUUUAAAAGCUUUUGCAAGCAUUUUGAUUGCUUAGUUUGGACAGUUUUCUCAAAAUGAGAUUUAUUAACUAAAGGAACCACUGAUGACAGAUUAAUCAUUUGAACUUAAGGUGAAGCUCUUAGCACUUACUUCAGAGCCCAUAGCAUUGUUAUGGUCAUCUUAGGACGACAGUUCAUUUCUCAGAACUUCUUAAACUUUCUCUGGGUUGUGAGUAAAAAUAAGGAUAGAACCAUUUGUCCCCAUAAAUGAAAUAAAGCUAUAGUAUCAAUGUGGUGUGUGUGUGUGUUUGCAUUUCUCAAGGGUCUCAGACCUGCAUUUCUAGUCAUUUUAUUUCUGAUAAUGUGAAUAUUAGUAGUAGUGCAUGACAUAAGAUCUGUGAAUAAGGCUGAAAUAUCUCUGUACUUAGGAAAUCCAGAACAAUUCACUCUUAGUUGGUUUUCUUCAUUCGUAUGGUGCAGGUAAUAGCACCUGUCCUGAAAUACCCUAAGGUAAUUAUGAUAUUAUGUGAGUUGGUACUGAAAUAUAACAAGGUGUUUUUGUUUUAUGCAGCUUUUACUAGUGUCUGUCUGUAGAUAAAGUGACCAUGAUGGACUUCAGAAAGAUGCCAUUUUAUAGAACUACCAUAUGACCCAGCAAUCCCACUACUGGGCAUAUACCCUGACAAAACCAUAAUUCAAAGAGUCAUGUACCAAAAUGUUCAUUGCAGCUCUGUUUACAAUAGCCAGGACAUGGAAGCAACCUAAGUGUCCAUCGACAGAUGAAUGGAUAAAGAAGAUGUGGCACAUAUAUACAAUGGAAUAUUACUCAGCCAUAAAAAGAAACGAAAUUGAGUUAUUUGUAGUGAGGUGGAUGGACCUAGAGUCUGUCAUACAGAGUGAAGUCAGAAAGAGAAAAACAAAUACCGUAUGCUAACACAUAUAUAUGGAAUCUUAAAAAAAAAAAAAAAGGUUCUGAAGAACCUAGGGGCAGGACAGGAGUAAAGACGCAGA
rnacentral:lncRNA from 1 species